AAAACAAUUUCUGCACUAAGUAGGAAUAGUAAGAAUGAAAAUUUUUAUCAAUGCUGUUUUUCCCUAGUGUAGUUGGAAUUUGGUGACAACUAACAGAUAGGAGCUAAGUGGAAAUGAUUUCUUAAUCACAGGAAGCCUUGGAGCUUCUGAAUUUGGGACUCCCCUAUUUCUGGCUUACUUCAUGUAUCACUUCAUCUAGCUCACCGUACUGUGUAAUGCAUUUUAGGGCAUCUGUACAACUAACUUCAAGAUACAAAACAGGCAGAAGAACUAGAUGGGCUUAAGGAGCUGUUACUGUGUAAGGUGCUUGUACAGCCAACCAACUUCUCUUUAUGAGCUUGUGUUACUCCCACGGGUCAAAUUUUCUGCUUCUUGGCUAGGACAAGAAUUGGGACUGGCCUGCAGGUUUCCUCAGAGUUCAGGAAAUCCCCAGUACAGCUCAGAAAUCCUCCGGACAAGACUGUCCUAAGCUUUUGGCAGCAUCCAUGCCUUCAGCCUUCCCUCUACUAAGCAUUCUCUGAGCGAUCUUCCUGCUCUUUCUUGAAAGCCUUUUGUAUGUCAGUGCAUUUUAAAGCUGGUGUAUGUAGGAAUAUCUUCAGUAUUUCAGCAAGGUACCGCAGGCUCCCAGUGGAUCCUAGGCAGUGUUCCUCACCACCAAGCUGAAAAGCGAUAGAAUCAAAACUUUCCGUAGGACAUUUAACUUUCUUCCAUAAUUAUUAAGGGUCUGUAAAAGUAAAGUUGGUCACUAGGUUCAGAGAAAAGAAGUAUUAAGCCCUAAGACAGAAGGACAUAAAUGCACAAAUGACAGUAACUAUUUCUGGGACGUGUCAGUCAGUUUCUAAAUCAAAUCAUGUGAAUGCCUCAAAGCAAGAAAUUUGAAAGCUAUUCAGUUUUCUUUGAACCCUGUUUUGCAUGUGGAUUUCAAGCAUUGAAAGAAGGAAAUUCUGUUCUGUCAAUGGGAUCUCAUGGGUUUUAACUGGAGAAGCAGUGCUAACAUGUGAGUGAGCUGUGGUGCCAUUCUUCAAAUCCCUCAACAACAGACCUGUAUCUUAAAUGAACUAAACUAGCAUGUGAUCAUUAAGAAAGACUUUUCUCUCAAUUGAAGGUUCUUACUUGCGUGCAUAACUACCCAGAGGCAGAGAGUGCUAAUCUGAAUGACUGGUAUGUGAUUUUUAUUGGCUUUCAUGGAUGCUGUUUGCAUUCAUUACAGAGAACCUAUUGCACAGGAUAACUAUUACUGAAUCAUUUCUUAGAAUUAUCAAGCAUAAGCCAGCUUUCAUCCCACAUGCAGGCUUUGAACUGUUACUGAAUAAGUUUUUCAAUUCAUUUUCUUUGGGCUUUUGUUCCACCUGCAGAUCUUGUCUUCCAUCUACACAGAUUCCAAAACAAUGGGGUUGACCCUGCUGCUUUGGUACAAGACACACUUGUUGCUGGCAUUGGAGGAGCUUUACCUGUGUUGAGAUGAUGUUGCCUGUAUAUUUAUUGUGACAAUGACAAGACAAGUGCUAUUGCCAGGAAAGUUGCUGAACCCCUAACUUUCAAUAGUGGUCAUUGGCCUUAAGUCUGGAAAACUGGAGCUGCAUCUAACUACAAAUACCCAAGCCUGGAAAUCCCUUCUCAGAGGCAAAACAGCUUCCAGGCUUUGACUAGGUACUGUGAAAAAACCUGAAGAUGCUUCCCAUGGCUAUAUCAUGUGUGUUAUGAGGCUGAGCAGUCUGAAGUAUUUGAUGGCUCCUGCUCAAGUCAUAGUGUCUACCACAUAUGAGUAACAUCCAGUCUGUGAACCACAAGUAAAACCACUUCAGUGUAGUUCCAUUAAGGUAUGUUCUACAAAUAAAAAUUGAGAACAGGUCCUUGGAGUCCACAAAUGCCUUCUGCUCCUGCAAGUCCUCUCCUUUUCCUAUGCAAGAUCUUCCCCUAACGUUUUUGAAAUCAGAGCAACAAAUGAAAAUAUUUCCAGCUUGUUUUAAACUGUUUCUGAUAACAUCUGAAGUGAUUAGAGAGGAGGUUUCUUUCAUUUAUUUUUCAUUCAUUAAAUGGAUAGGGCUUUAAGCAACCUGGUCUGAUGGAAGGUGUCUCUUGGAACUAGAUGAUCCAGUUCCAACCCAAACUAUUCUAAAAUUCUGUGAAAUGCAGGUAUAGCGCAAAAAAUUAGAGCAUAAAGGAUGUGUUUGUGGAAUAAAAUCUUGUUGGAAGAA